UCCGGUAUGUAGCAGACAAAUCCAGCACAAGACAGUUUCAUGGGGGCCAUUAAGCAUUUCCGUGCCCCUGGAUUAAAUGGUUCCUAGGUAACUCAUGCCAGAGGGAUAAACUGGAGAUAUGCAGGUAAUCCAACAAAAGAGACUUGUUCCUAGGUAAGUCAUGGCAGAGGGAUAAACUGGAGAUAUGCAGGUAAUCCAACAAAAGCGACUUGAACUAUAAACCAAGCAACACUAUGCUACGAAAAGUUAGGCAUAUGCAGUAAGGAACUCGUUGCAGAGAAUUUCUAAUAAAAACCAAUCAAGUGGCAUAGAACGACAGCUGAAUUUUACUGAGCUUGAAGCAGAAGCUUAGAAAUGUGGAAUUACCUGUUUAGCCAAACCAGUAAUCUGCUGCAAAUCACCAGCUGCACCUGUUGUCACCUCAGGUUCACCGAAGAUGAUUUCCUCUGCGGCUCUGCCACCAAGUCCACCAACAAUUCUUGCAAAGAGUUGUUGCUUGGAGAUCAAGGUAGGGUCAUCUGAA
rnacentral:lncRNA from 1 species